rnacentral:tRNA from 1 species
UCCCAGGUGGCCUAAUGGUUAAGGAUUUGGCUUUGUCACUGCCGUAGCUCAGGUUCAAUCCCUGGCCUGGAAG